rnacentral:rRNA from 1 species
UACGGGGGCGGCAAGCGUUGUUCGGAAUUACUGGGCGUAAAGGGCUCGUAGGCGGCCAACUAAGUCAGAUGUGAAAUCCCUCGGCUUAACCGGGGAACUGCGUCUGAUACUGGAUGGCUAGAGAUUGGGAGAGGGAUGCGGAAUUCCAGGUGUAGCGGUGAAAUGCGUAGAUAUCAGGAAGAACACCGGUGGCGAAGGCGGCUCUCUGGGCCUUACCUGACGCUGAGGAGCGAAAGCAUGGGGAGCGAACAGG